GCCCAGGGCCUGGACGAGGAAGGGAUUAAAACUGGACUUUUGUGUCGUUGCAGAACAGCAUGGACUCUUCCCUAACUUCCCACACCGAGCAGAACUGCAUGCAGACCAGGUUUGGCACCCACGACAGAUCUUCACGUGCACAAGUGGAAAACGUGUCUUCUUGGCCUCUGCUGGCCCUCGCAGUACGUCCACGCGGACACCCAGGAAGGACCACAGAAGUUCACCAGUCUGGUAAAAAGUUCCCGAGUUCUAGGGAUAAAAGAGAGAGUUGGUUUUUCCCCCCUUUCUGUAUUCUUCAUUACAUCAACGACUUCAAGUCUGUUUACAAUAUUUUUCCUUGUUGCUCAGGAACAUUUCAUGAGCUAAGAAUCAUCACAUUUUUCCCUUAAGGACUUUCCCAGCUUGGUGACCCCUGACUGCCGCAACAGCGUGGGGCCGGGCUGCACACAGGUCUGAUAAGUACUCGUUCUGUGGUCUGUAAUAGGGUUUACAUUAAACAUUCAACAACAUUUACUGAGUGUCCACUCCCUGAUGGACGUCGUGCCAGCCACGGGGAGGCAGACAGAGGCAUGAUACCUGCUUUGUAUUGUCAAGGAACUCACAGAACUGAGGAUAAAAAUAGUUUGGGGCUUGAUGUGCAAAUUGCAGAAUUGUUAAGAAGUAUUUUGGACUUUGAGAAGGAACAAUAAGAGACUUUUAUAUUCUAGAGAUAAUUUUUUUUUUUUUUUAAGGUUAAGAUAGAGUUACAGAGUCUGAAUUGGGUGCGGACAGUGUUAUCAGUACCUCUCCUGCCACGGAGCCUACAGCUUCCUUUUCCAUUUGCCUUUCACGAGGCUGUCUCAGGCAACUCAGAGUGGGGGUGACCCCAGACCAGGCCAGAGCUGGAGGGUUCUGCUAUGACCACCACAGGCCUAACGUUCUUCUGAAACACUGGCUCUCACCAAGCAUUUGGGGCCCUCGUCCACACGUCCGAGUGCCCUGUCCACCCAUGUGCACGUGAGGCUGUGAAUGUAGCCGCGUCCACUCAGGAGCAGCAGGAACACCUGCCCGUGCCGCAGCCACCCAGGAGAGCACGUGGCAGGUGCAAACUUUAUGGGGAGCUAGGGACUUGUUGCUGCCAGCAGGAUGGCCGUCGUCUUCUCCUCAGCCUUAUGAAAAGCUUGACUGACUGCACUGAUUGCUCGGGGGACUUGAAAGAAUCACUUUCGAGGGACACCACGGCUGAAGACCGAAGGGUAAUAUUUAUCAACAUUAAAUAGACACUUGGUGAAGUAUGCAUAAAUAUUUCUUCAUAUAAACAGAACAUGAAAUUAAAUAGUUCAGAAACACAGACACCACUGAGCCCACACCCACUGUUGUCACCUGUAAACACCAGCUCACAGUGAACACAGAAGCAGCUUCUACCCCGGCCCGGGGUCCACGACCCGAGGCCCUGUACAGAGGUGAGAUUUCUUCUCGACCCCCCCACCCCGCCCCCUCCCCUCCCGCUCCCCACACUGCCCCGGUGAAAGGAAAAGAAGGAACCCCAACAACUACAACAGUGACAAAAAUGACAAGCCACGGUGGCACCCCCUCCCACCCGCCCCUCAGUACAACAUUGAGCUUUUGGAUCAAUUCAAAGGAGAUACAGAAUCAUUUUUUUCAAAAGGUUAAGGAAAUGAACUUGAAGAAAUACUUUUCAAAGUGUUAAUACUUUCUUCGGAGGACAGGAAAGUUCCUGAACCCCACCGUGACUGAGUGAGGGUUGCGCAAGGAACCCCGGAGAGCGCUGGCCACAGCUAGGUAACGCAGGGGGAUGCCCUUUUGCAUCUAGAAGGGGCUAGGUAGCAGGACCUCCAACACCACGUUCUCCCCCCACUUCACGGUGUCACCGGGGCGCUUUGCCAUAGAUAUUGCUGCGUGUGACAUUCAAGCGCGACACUAUGAGUUUCAAGCAGCUGAGAUAGCAGAAAUUUUGUUGGGCAACAUUCAGAUUUGGACGAUUAGAUUCAACCCCGUGGAUGUGGUUCGUGGUUGGGGCUCGCUCAGAGGGGCCCCGGUUUGCUGGAACUCUGUCGAGAUCAGCAAAGCACCCGGCUUACACGGCUUACACUCAAGAGUCUGGCUGUGCGCUGCUGCAUUCCCCGGGAUGGUUUGGGGGG